GUCCACGCCGUAAACGUUGGGCGCUAGGUGUGGGGCUCUUUCCACGAGUUCCGUGCCGCAGCAAACGCAUUAAGCGCCCCGCCUGGGGAGUACGGCCGCAAGGCUAAAACUCAAAGGAAUUGACGGGGCCCGCACAAGCGGCGGAGCAUGCGGAUUAAUUCGAUGCAACGCGAAGAACCUUACCAAGGCUUGACAUGGGCGGUAAUCCGGCAGAGAUGUCGGGUCCGUAAGGGCCGUUCACAGGUGGUGCAUGGUUGUCGU
rnacentral:rRNA from 1 species